rnacentral:tRNA from 1 species
UGCGGAAUAGACUGGAGGUGGUUCCAGCACAGUCUCAUAAGCUGUUCUACGUAGGUUCGAAUCCUACUUCCGCGUCA